ensembl:lncRNA
GGCUGGUGAUGGCGGCGGCUAUGGGUUCCGCGCUGUUGCCCCUCUUGGCGUUUCUCGGGCCCGCGGCCGCGCUCGCCGGAUACAUCGAGGCCCUUGCAGCCAAUGCUGGGACAGGGUUUGCAGUGGCAGAACCUCAAAUUGCCAUGUUCUGUGGGAAGCUAAAUAUGCAUGUGAACAUCCAGACUGGGAAAUGGGAACCUGACACUUCUGGGACCAAGAGCUGCUUUGGAAGAAAGGAGGAGAUUCUGCAAUACUGCCAGGAGAUGUACCCAGACCUUCAGAUCACCAACGUGGUAGAAGCCAACCAGCCCGUCAGCAUUGACAGCUGGUGCAAGCGUGGGAAGAAGCAGUGCAAGGACCACACUCACAUCGUUGUGCCAUACAAGUGCCUGGUGGGUGAGUUUGUAAGUGAUGUCCUGUUGGUGCCCGAGAAGUGCCGGUUCUUCCACAAGGAGCGCAUGGAUGUGUGUGAAAGCCACCAGCACUGGUACACUGUGGCAAAGGAGGCCUGUCUGACAGAAGGGAUGAUCCUGCACAGCUAUGGGAUGCUGCUGCCCUGCGGAGUGGACCAGUUCCAUGGAACAGAAUAUGUGUGCUGUCCUCAGACUAAGGUUGUGGAUGAGGCUCUGUCCAAAGAGGAAGAGGAUGAGGAUGAAGACUAUGACCUCUACAAGAGUGAGUUCCCUACAGAGGCAGGUGUAGAAGACUUCACAGGAACAGCUGUGGAGGAAGAUGAGGAUGAGGAUGAUGAAGGGGAAGAGGAGGAGGAUGUGGUGGAAGACCGUGAUUACUACUAUGACAGCUACAAGGUUGAUGACUACAAUGAAGAGACACCCACAGAGCCCAGUAGUGACAAGGCUAUGUCUGAAAAAGAAGUGAGCAGUGACAUGAAAUCUGUCUGCUCCCAGGAGGCCAUGACAGGGCCCUGCCGGGCUGUGAUGCCUCGUUGGUACUUCGAUCCUAACAAGAGAAAAUGCAUUCGCUUUAUAUAUGGAGGCUGCGGAGGCAACAGGAACAAUUUUGAGUCAGAGGAGUAUUGUAUGGCUGUGUGUAAAAAGAUGAGUAAGUCCUUGCCAACUGAUGAUGUGGAUGUGUAUUUUGAAACCCCUGCUGAUGACAAUGAGCAUGCCCGCUUCCAGAAGGCCAAGGAGCAGCUGGAGGUCAGGCACCACAACCGCAUGGACCGGGUGAAAAAGGAGUGGGAGGAAGCAGAGCACCAGGCUGUUAAUCUCCCCAAGGCAGAAAGGCAGACUCUGAUCCAGCACUUCCAGGCCAUGGUAAAAUCUCUGGAGAAAGAAGCAGCGAGUGAGAAGCAGCAGCUGGUGGAGACUCACCUGGCUCGUGUGGAAUGGUUUGACCUAUUCCCUGCUCCUGUCCUGCAGCCCCACCGCAUCCUGCAGGCCCUGAAGCGCUAUGUCCGUGCCGAGAACAAGGAUAGGCUGCACACCAUCCGCCACUACCAGCAUGUCCUGGCAGUGGAUCCGGAGAAGGCUGCACAGAUGAAAUCCCAGGUGAUGACACAUCUUCAUGUGAUUGAGGAACGGAUGAAUCAAAGCUUGUCUCUGCUCUACAAGGUGCCAUAUGUGGCUGAAGAAAUCCAGGAUGAAAUUGAUGAGCUGCUUCAGGAGCAGCGUGCAGACAUGGAUCAGUUCACAUCCUCCAUUUCUGAGUCCCAGGUGGAUGUCAGAGUGAGCUCUGAGGAGAGUGAAGAAAUUCCCCUGGAUGGCAAACCUUUCCACCCGUUCCAGGUGAAAACCUUCCCAGCCUUGCCUGAAAGUGAAGGUAUGGCUGAUGGGCUCUCCUUCUCUUUUGGUGCAGGUUCUGGCAUGACUGAGCUGGAUGGGCUGAUUGGUGCUGAAGAAAAAGUGAUUAAUAGCAAGAACAAGGUGGAUGAAAAUGUGGUAAUUGAUGAAACCCUUGAUGUGAAGGAGAUGAUUUUCAACGCAGAGCGUGUCGGAGGGCUGGUGGAUGAGCCGGAUAAUGACAACUCCCUCCGUGAUGACUUUGGCUUCAGCAGCAGUGCCCUUAUUGGGCUGUUGGUGAUUGCUGUUGCCAUAGCUACUGUUAUAGUCAUCAGCUUGGUGAUGCUGAGGAAGAGGCAGUAUGGGACUAUCAGCCAUGGAAUUGUGGAGGUUGACCCGAUGCUCACCCCUGAGGAGCGGCAUCUGAGCAAGAUGCAAAACCAUGGCUAUGAGAAUCCCACUUACAAAUACCUGGAGCAGAUGCAGAUAUAAAAGAGAUGAAGAUGGAAUAGCCCCGAUAGGAAAAGGUGCGGGGCGAAGGGCCAAAGUGGUCCAGUGUUUUGGAUCAACUACUGACCAACAGUUGCUUCAAGAGGACUUCAUCUUACAUUCAGAACUCCUGGAUCAUUAAGACUAUAAUUACUACUGUAGAGUUGCAAUUUCCAUUCUUUAAAAUGGGUGAAGAAAUGAUAAUAUAACAAUAUGAUAUAUAAAUCUCCUUAAAUGGGAAAAAUUGAUCUAUUGCAGAUAUUUGACUGAGAUGUAGUUUUCUUUUUUUUUUAAUAAUCUGAAAAAUACCAGUUCUGUUGUACUGUUGUCUGAUACAAGCUCUAUAUAUAUAAAAAUGGGAAAUGUUGAUUUUUAUUUCUGAUAGACCACCUGUAUAUUGAGGGUUGUUUGUACCAGCCCACCUUCAAAAAAGGAGGCAGUUGCGGCUCUUUGGUCAUUUUGGCUUUUGUAUAUAAAGCAUUAUUCUUUUCCUUUUUUUUUUUAAGUGAAUUUCACUGGGACUUGCAAAGAGAUUAAUUUAGGGAUAGAAGCUAUAACAGCAUAAGCAAAGAAGCAAUUGGGAACAGUAACUAACAAAAUUCCCUAUAAUGAGACAAAAAAAAGGAAAAGAGAAAAAAAAGGAAAAAAACCCUCAUCUUCAUAUGCCAGUGGUGUGCACCCUGCUGCUUAGCAGCUUGGGCUCUAGGAAUCAAGACUCCCUGGAGGCAAGGAGUUAAAAGGCUUCUAGCAUCUCUGUUUAUAGUUAUUCUAGUAGAAUGUUAGAACAUGGUUUGUGCAUACUUGGGUCUGCACAUUCCCCUUCGAGAUUCAGUUCUGCUCUAGAGUUGGAAGUUCUGGUAUUGAAUUGAAAUCCUCUGUUCUCAGCCAGUUUCCUUCAGUACUCACCUGGCAUUAACAGCCCCGUCUUGCUACUACUUUCUAAUUUCCCCAGCUCUCCUGCCUCACCAACAUGGUAAGUAGUUAAGAGCCACAGGUUUCUGAGCCUUUGCAUCUCCCUGGGUGAUGUUGGGCCAGAAAUGACAGAUCACUGCAAUAACUGAGGCCUUGGGAGCUAACAAACAGAGAGGUCUCUUAGCUGGGGAUGGAAGAGAGUGACAUGUUGGGAAAGGGAUGCUGCCUACUCUAAGGGAAAUAGAAUGCAUAGGCUCCAAGAAGAACAAAAGGGGCAUUGUUCCACUCACCAUCAUCAUGUCUUUGUAAUGCUUGUAUAGUUGGUGUUAAUGCUCACGGCUUUUUUUAAUCUGGGGGUUCUGGUAACCUGUGGUGUAUUUUUUCUAUUUUUCCUGUGACUUUAUUUUUUCUUCCCCUUUCCGUGUUUCUUCCCACUAUGCACAGAUUUACCUGCAAACUCCUUAGUGUGGUCUGUGGGGAAUGUACAAAGUUUAAACACAUCAAUAAACACUUUAACUUCCAGAUUGCUUCUUCUCUU